GCCCUCGGUGGCUCAGAUGGAUAGAGCGUCUGCCAUGUAAGCAGGAGAGCCGGGUUCGAGUCCCGGUCGGGGCA
rnacentral:tRNA from 1 species